GGUUCUGUGUAUGUAGGCCUAUGGGAAGUCUUUGAACCUUUAGUUCAAAUUUGCAAACAAACAAACAAACAAAAAAAAACAAGAAGACACCCUAAAAAGUCAAAAGCAGAAGAAAGAAGGAGGAAGAAGAGGAAUAAGGAAUAAGCGCAAGGGGAGAAAGGAUCAGAAUGAAGCCUACUCGAUAGACGCAGAGAACUAUGAGUCCUCCAGUGGAAGAAUAGAAGUAAAACACAGCUGGACAGCUCUGUGCUGAAGGCUGGCCUACGCCAUCUCACUUAACCUUUACCUCCAUGUCCCUGCGCUGUUACAUCCCGGCCGUCACUGUCAUCGUCCUCAUACAAAUGAGGGAAGCAGAGCCAGCAGCUUGUUCUCUGGGAGCUAUGGGGUGUGGAGUUUUCAGACAUUCCAGCCCAUCCAGGUGGACCGUGAUGAUUUAACUUCAAAGCAAGAGUGUAGUUGGUGCCCACUGCACUAAGCAGAUAUGGUGGAUCUGAACCAUUGCCUUCCCUCAGCAUGCAGACUGACCCGGAAAGAAUCUUGUAUUCAUUAGGCUCAAAGGGUGCUGUGGCCUAGGAGGAAGCAUGUCUCUCUCUUUUCCUCCUGCCUGCCAAUCUGGAUGUAGAAUUCUCGGUUCCUUCUCCAGCACCAUGUCUGCCUGUGAUGAUAAUGAACUAAACCUGAACUGUAAGC
rnacentral:lncRNA from 1 species